UUCCUACGGGGAGGCAGCAGUGGGGAAUAUUGCGCAAUGGGGGAAACCCUGACGCAGCGACGCCGCGUGUAGGAAGAAGGCUUUCGGGUCGUAAACUACUGUCAGGAGGGAAGAAACUGUUUGGGUAUAAUACGCCCAUUCACUGACGGUACCUCCAGAGGAAGCACCGGCUAACUCCGUGCCAGCAGCCGCGGUAAUACGGAGGGUGCGAGCGUUAAUCGGAAUCACUGGGCGUAAAGCGUGCGUAGGCGGCGCAUCAAGUCAGACGUGAAAGCCCUCGGCUCAACCGAGGAAUUGCGUUUGAAACUGAUGUGCUAGAGUCUCGGAGAGGUUAGGGGAAUUCCAGGUGUAGGAGUGAAAUCCGUAGAUAUCUGGAGGAACACCGGUGGCGAAGGCGCCUAACUGGACGAGUACUGACGCUGAGGUACGAAAGCGUGGGGAGCAACCAGGAUUAGAUACCCUGGUAGUC
rnacentral:rRNA from 1 species